rnacentral:rRNA from 1 species
AUUGAACGCUGGCGGCAGGCCUAACACAUGCAAGUCGAACGAGUGGCGGCCGGGUGAGUAAUGUCUGGGAAACUGCCCGAUGGAGGGGGAUAACUACUGGAAACGGUAGCUAAUACCGCAUACCAUCGGAUGUGCCCAGCUGGGAUUAGCUAGUAGGUGGGGUAACGGCUCACCUAGGCGACGAUCCCUAGCUGGUCUGAUAGGAUGAUAAGCCAAAAUGGGACUGAGACCCGGCCCAGACUCCUACGGGAGGCAGCAGUGGGGAAUAUUGCACAAUGGGAGCAAGCCUGAUGCAGCCAUGCCGCGUGUAUGAAGAAGGCCUUGGGGUUGUAAAGUACUUUCAGUCGGGAGGCGUUACCGACAUAAGAAGCACCGGCUAACUCCGUGCCAGCAGCCGCGGUAAUUC